GCGCCGCUAGCUCAGUUGGUAGAGCUGCCGACUUUUAAUCGGUAUGUCCGGGGUUCGAGCCCCCGGCGGCGUA
rnacentral:tRNA from 1 species